CAUUAUUAUUAUUAAGUCCUGGUCAUGCUUUUCCACAGCUUUCUUGAACUUCCACUGUUUGCUGAUUAAUACACGGCUCUUGCUAGCUAGGCGCCGUAUGUAGACACCGCGCGCCAUGGGAGCUCAAGAAAGCUGUGGGAGAACAUGGCACACCUUCAGGAUUUGCCUGCUC
rnacentral:pre_miRNA from 1 species